rnacentral:rRNA from 1 species
UACGGAGGUGGCAAGCGUUACUCGGAAUCAUUGGGUGUAAAGGGCAAGUAGGCGGUCCAAUAAGUGAGGGGUGAAAUCCUGCGACUCAAUCGCAGAACUGCCUUUCAAACUGUCGGACUUGAGGUAAGAAGAGGAAAAUGGAAUUCUAGGUGUAAGGGUGAAAUCUGUAGAUAUCUAGAAGAACACCAACGGCGAAGGCAAUUUUCUACUCUUAUCCUGACGCUAAAUUGCGAAAGCUAGGGGAGCAAACAGA